rnacentral:rRNA from 1 species
CAUUCACGGAGAGUUUGAUCCUGGCUCAGGACGAACGCUGGCGGCGUGCUUAACACAUGCAAGUCGAACGAUGAAGCCCUUCGGGGUGGAUUAGUGGCGAACGGGUGAGUAACACGUGGGCAAUCUGCCCUGCACUCUGGGACAAGCCCUGGAAACGGGGUCUAAUACCGGAUAUGACCAUCUUGGGCAUCCUUGAUGGUGUAAAGCUCCG